UACGGGGGGGGCUAGCGUUGUUCGGAAUUACUGGGCGUAAAGGGCGCGUAGGCGGUCUGCUAAGUUGGAUGUGAAAACUCUGGGCUUAACCCAGAGCCUGCAUUCAAUACUGACAGGCUAGAGUUCUGGAGGGGAUAGCGGAAUUCCUGGUGUAGCGGUGAAAUGCGUAGAUAUCAGGAGGAACACCGGUGGCGAAAGCAGCUUUCUGGGACGGUACUGACGCUGAGACGCGAAAGCGUGGGGAGCGAACAGG
rnacentral:rRNA from 1 species